rnacentral:tmRNA from 1 species
GGGGGUGUUUUGGUUUCGACUUGCUUUACCAGGUCGGAGACUGCGGGCCAAGAGCUGACUUGUAAAACCGGCAACAAAAAAUAACUGCAAAGAAAGAAGAAGACGACAACGUCGAAACUCUUGCAUUUGCUGCUUAAUUAAACGCAGCAUGGCUUCUCCAGACGCCGCUCUGAGGCUGGAUGAGGUCAACAUAAACCAGGGCUUUCCUUUCAAGGGGCACUCACUUGAGAGGGAGAUCAAGCGGGUGAUACCUUCUUUCAACGCUGGUGAUGCGGCCUAGGAAGAGGGGAGAUUAGAAGCAUCACUACGCCUCGUAGAUGUUUUCGGAUGGACUGUUAGGACGGGAGUUCGAGUCUCCCCACCUCCA